rnacentral:rRNA from 1 species
UACGGAGGGUGCGAGCGUUGUCCGGAAUCACUGGGCGUAAAGGCUCGUAGGCGGCCAACUAAGUCGGAUGUGAAAUCCCCAGGCUUAACCUGGGAACUGCAUCCGAUACUGGAUGGCUUGAAUCCGGGAGAGGGAUGCAGAAUUCCAGGUGUAGCGGUGAAAUGCGUAGAUAUCUGGAGGAAUACCGGUGGCGAAGGCGGCAUCCUGGACCGGCAUUGACGCUGAUGAGCGAAAGCUAGGGGAGCAAACGGG